GCGGAAGUGCUCGCUGCACAUCCGAGUUGUAGCCGAUGGCUGCUUGCCGGUUCCAAGUUCCGCGAUCCAAGCUUCAUGCAGCUUCUUGCCCUGCGGUUACGUGGGAAGGCUGACACCGGGCUCCAUUGCGUACGUCCGGCACUUCGGCACCGAGCAGUAGCCUGCCUUGUUGA
rnacentral:lncRNA from 1 species